rnacentral:rRNA from 1 species
GGGUUGUGAGGUUAAGCGACUAAGCGUACACGGUGGAUGCCCUGGCAGUCAGAGGCGAUGAAGGACGUGCUAAUCUGCGAAAAGCGUCGGUAAGGUGAUAUGAACCGUUAUAACCGGCGAUGUCCGAAUGGGGAAACCCAGUGCAAUUCGUUGCACUAUCGUUAACUGAAUACAUAGGUUAACGAGGCGAACCGGGGGAACUGAAACAUCUAAGUACCCCGAGGAAAAGAAAUCAACCGAGAUUCCCCCAGUAGCGGCGAGCGAACGGGGAGCAGCCCAGAGUCUGAAUCAGCUUGUGUGUUAGUGGAACGGUCUGGAAAGUCCGACGGUACAGGGUGAUAGUCCCGUACACCAAAAUGCACAGGCUGUGAACUCGAAGAGUAGGGCGGGACACGUGGUAUCCUGUCUGAAUAUGGGGGGACCAUCCUCCAAGGCUAAAUACUCCUGACUGACCGAUAGUGAACCAGUACCGUGAGGGAAAGGCGAAAAGAACCCCGGCGAGGGGAGUGAAAAAGAACCUGAAACCGUGUACGUACAAGCAGUGGGAGCACCUUCGGGUGUGACUGCGUACCUUUUGUAUAAUGGGUCAGCGACUUAUAUUCUGUAGCAAGGUUAACCGUAUAGGGGAGCCGCAGGGAAACCGAGUCUUAACUGGGCGUUAAGUUGCAGGGUAUAGACCCGAAACCCGGUGAUCUAGCCAUGGGCAGGUUGAAGGUUGGGUAACACUAACUGGAGGACCGAACCGACUAAUGUUGAAAAAUUAGCGGAUGACUUGUGGCUGGGGGUGAAAGGCCAAUCAAACCGGGAGAUAGCUGGUUCUCCCCGAAAGCUAUUUAGGUAGCGCCUCGUGAACUCAUCUUCGGGGGUAGAGCACUGUUUCGGCUAGGGGGUCAUCCCGACUUACCAACCCGAUGCAAACUACGAAUACCGAAGAAUGUUAUCACGGGAGACACACGGCGGGUGCUAACGUCCGUCGUGAAGAGGGAAACAACCCAGACCGCCAGCUAAGGUCCCAAAGUCAUGGUUAAGUGGGAAACGAUGUGGGAAGGCACAGACAGCCAGGAUGUUGGCUUAGAAGCAGCCAUCAUUUAAAGAAAGCGUAAUAGCUCACUGGUCGAGUCGGCCUGCGCGGAAGAUGUAACGGGGCUAAACCAUGCACCGAAGCUGCGGCAGCGACACUAUGUGUUGUUGGGUAGGGGAGCGUUCUGUAAGCCUGCGAAGGUGACCUGUGAGGGUUGCUGGAGGUAUCAGAAGUGCGAAUGCUGACAUAAGUAACGAUAAAGCGGGUGAAAAGCCCGCUCGCCGGAAGACCAAGGGUUCCUGUCCAACGUUAAUCGGGGCAGGGUGAGUCGACCCCUAAGGCGAGGCCGAAAGGCGUAGUCGAUGGGAAACAGGUUAAUAUUCCUGUACUUGGUGUUACUGCGAAGGGGGGACGGAGAAGGCUAUGUUAGCCGGGCGACGGUUGUCCCGGUUUAAGCAUGUAGGCUGAUUGUCCAGGCAAAUCCGGAUAAUCAAGGCUGAGGUGUGAUGACGAGGCACUACGGUGCUGAAGUAACAAAUGCCCUGCUUCCAGGAAAAGCCUCUAAGCAUCAGGUAACAUUAAAUCGUACCCCAAACCGACACAGGUGGUCAGGUAGAGAAUACCAAGGCGCUUGAGAGAACUCGGGUGAAGGAACUAGGCAAAAUGGUGCCGUAACUUCGGGAGAAGGCACGCUGGUGUGUAGGUGAAGUCCCUGCGGAUGGAGCUGAGACCAGUCGAAGAUACCAGCUGGCUGCAACUGUUUAUUAAAAACACAGCACUGUGCAAACACGAAAGUGGACGUAUACGGUGUGACGCCUGCCCGGUGCCGGAAGGUUAAUUGAUGGGGUUAUCCGUAAGGAGAAGCUCUUGAUCGAAGCCCCGGUAAACGGCGGCCGUAACUAUAACGGUCCUAAGGUAGCGAAAUUCCUUGUCGGGUAAGUUCCGACCUGCACGAAUGGCGUAAUGAUGGCCAGGCUGUCUCCACCCGAGACUCAGUGAAAUUGAACUCGCUGUGAAGAUGCAGUGUACCCGCGGCAAGACGGAAAGACCCCGUGAACCUUUACUAUAGCUUGACACUGAACAUUGAGCCUUGAUGUGUAGGAUAGGUGGGAGGCUUUGAAGCGUGGACGCCAGUCUGCGUGGAGCCAACCUUGAAAUACCACCCUUUAAUGUUUGAUGUUCUAACGUUGGCCCCUUACCGGGGUUGCGGACAGUGUCUGGUGGGUAGUUUGACUGGGGCGGUCUCCUCCCAAAGCGUAACGGAGGAGCACGAAGGUUAGCUAAUCCUGGUCGGACAUCAGGAGGUUAGUGCAAUGGCAUAAGCUAGCUUGACUGCGAGCGUGACGGCGCGAGCAGGUGCGAAAGCAGGUCAUAGUGAUCCGGUGGUUCUGAAUGGAAGGGCCAUCGCUCAACGGAUAAAAGGUACUCCGGGGAUAACAGGCUGAUACCGCCCAAGAGUUCAUAUCGACGGCGGUGUUUGGCACCUCGAUGUCGGCUCAUCACAUCCUGGGGCUGAAGUAGGUCCCAAGGGUAUGGCUGUUCGCCAUUUAAAGUGGUACGCGAGCUGGGUUUAGAACGUCGUGAGACAGUUCGGUCCCUAUCUGCCGUGGGCGCUGGAGAAUUGAGGGGGGCUGCUCCUAGUACGAGAGGACCGGAGUGGACGCAUCACUGGUGUUCGGGUUGUCAUGCCAAUGGCACUGCCCGGUAGCUAAAUGCGGAAGAGAUAAGUGCUGAAAGCAUCUAAGCACGAAACUUGCCCCGAGAUGAGUUCUCCCUGAGACUUUAAGUCUCCUGAAGGAACGUUGAAGACGACGACGUUGAUAGGCCGGGUGUGUAAGCGCAGCGAUGCGUUGAGCUAACCGGUACUAAUGAACCGUGAGGCUUAACCUUACAACGCCGAAG